UGACCUCAAAUCAGGUAAGGACACCCGCUG
rnacentral:rRNA from 1 species